GCCCAAACUGCUCCCCAAAUGUUUCCCAUUACUGGAGCUUCGAGCGCAAGCACACGUCCAAGACAGCAAUCACAACAUCAAAUAAGGCCAAGAUGACCCCCGCCCGUCCGGCCCCCGACGUCCCAAUCAGUCACCACCUCCCUGAAGGAAAACAAACCGGCCCCAGGCGCAUCCCUCCACGUGCGGCGCGCCACUGCAGCCAGGCGAAGGCCGACGCCGCGUCUCCCCGCCGGUCGCCCCGACGCGCGGCCCCACUAUUGCGCGCGCCCUCCAGCUGCAUGUAUCCAAUAAAAGUGGAAGAGGGAAGAUAAUGGCCUGAACAGUGACAUGUCUAGGGACAUAAAUGUGCGGAGCAGCUCGGCGGUCGGGAUUUUUCCAGGGAAACCUCAAAGAGAGAUGCUGUUCCGAGACUGUUUCUAAGUAGGAGUGGAUUAUUUCCCCAAGGAUUGUGAACAGUUCCUUUGUCCAAAUCCAAGAUACAGAAAUGCAUACGCUCUCUGAAACAGGACAUUCGAAUUUCAUUUAUUUAGAUCUAAAGCCCUCAAAGAAUUUGAGAUGCAGAGAUGAAAAGACUCUUUUUUAAUGAUAUGUUUUCGGUAGUUAAACAGGCAGAUACGCGAAAGAGGGCGGUUUACUUCUGGAAGCUGAUUCGCUUUCGAAUGUGUCUUCUACUUGCUAAAAGUAUAUAUUAUUGGAAACAAACUCCAAAGACAAACUUCUGUCAAUGUAGAUGCAUCUUUUGAUAAGUAAAAUCAAACACAAAUUUCUUUGGAAAGGAAAGAAAAAUCAAAGAGCUACCGCUGACAUCUCAAUCAAGUUAAGAUUUAAGAAAAAUUAAUCCCUCCGUAAGAACGUUGCUUUGUUUUUCUUUUCUAACAUGUCUUGAAUUAAACAAAACAUGUUAACAAGAUUGUAACGAAAACUCUGCAUCAUGUAAACAUCCAAAGAAAGAAAUUCUAGAUUGAUUAUAUUCUGGGACCGCAAAGAUUUUAUUACUAGAUAUACUGAAAUAGUGGAAUAAGAGACGGUGAAAGCUGUAGGACUCUGGGGCGGGGGGGUGUCAGGGAGACUUUGGAAAACUUUCCCCCAAUUAAAAAAAUACUUCAUAAAAUGUAAAUGCAAUAAAUUGAGCUGAAUUUUAUUUUUCCA
rnacentral:lncRNA from 1 species